CGGUGGUUCUCUGAAGUGAUUUAUUCACAGGACUGGAGAGUUGGGAACUAUCGGGUUCCCUUUCACCACCUGAAAACAGCACCCCCAUUUCUCUGAGCUGGGCAGGCAAACAGCUCCUUGCUGGGCUGAGGGGAAAAAAAAAUACUUGACUCCUACCUGUUGUGGUGCUGGAGAAGUCCUGAGCACACAGGGCUGCGAGCCUGCCCAUGCAGCCUGCCGUCUGCUGCAAAGGCAAGACUUAGCUGUACAGCCAAACUAGAGGUGGAGGUACUGAUGCAGGAGGCUUGGAAACUCACUCAGCAUGGACGUCACACAUAGUCAGAAUGUGUGGCCACUGGAACUCAACAGGCAUUUUAACCCCCAGGACUUGAGACUUUUCAUGACAGUGAGACACAUCUACUUCUGGCAGCACCGAUCUACUUCAAGUAGAAGAUGGGUAUAAAGGAGGCUCUUUAUGGACUUUGCUUGCCUUUUCAGCAAGAAACUUCUCUUGCCUAGACUGCUUGAUGUCAUGCUUUUUGAACUGGACAUGCAGGACCCACAUAAAAAUGACUGCUGAACUUGCCUAAAGGUCUCUGCAGCUGGGAAUGAACAAUCAGCCUCCAUCAACAGGUCUCUGUGCCUUUGAGGCCAGCCUGCUCUACAGAGCAAGUUCCAGGACAGGCACCAAAGCUACACAGAGAAACCCUGUCUCAAAAAAC